AAAAAGUUUUAUUUUAGCUUGAAAGAAUUUGAUUUAACUAAAUUUUGCAUGUAAAUUUUAGUAUAAUUUGUAAUAAUUUAAAUAAUUUUUAUAAUAAAUUAAUUUGCAGUAAAAAAAUUUAAAUAUUAAAUAAUUUUAGAUUUAGGUAAUGUUAAGAGUAUUAACAAAAUUUGUGCCAGCAGUUGCGGUUAUACAGAUAAUACGAUUUAAUUAAUUUAAGUUUUAAUAAUUAUUAAAUUGAAAUUUUAAAUUAAAAUUUAUUAGGUGAAAUUUUAAAUUUUUUAAAAAUUUUUGAAUAUAAGAUGUAAGAAAUUUUGGUAAUAAACUAGGAUUAGAUACCCUAUUAUUAUAAAAGUAAAAUUAUAAACUUGAUUAUUAUUAGUUAUGUUCUUUAAAAUUAAAAAAUUUGGCGGUAUUUUAGUCUAUUCAGAGGAACCUGUUCUAUAAUUGAUAACCCACGAUUUAAUUAACUUUAAUUAUUAGUUUGUAUAUCGUCGUUAAUUUGAAUAUUUUAAAAGAAUAAUAAUAUUCGAUUUUUAAUUAAUAGAGGAAUUCAGAUCAAGGUAUAGUUUAUAUUAAAGAAGAAAUGGGUUACAAUAAUUUUAAUUAAAGGAUUAAGUAUUGAGAAUAUUUAUGAAUUUGGAUUUGAUAGUAAUAUUUUAUAAAUAUAAAAUAUGAUAUAAGCUCUAAAAUAUGUACAUAUCGCCCGUCGCUUUCACUUUAAUGUGAAAUAAGUCGUAACAAAGUAGAUUUACCGGAAGGUGGGGCUAGAAAGAC
rnacentral:ncRNA from 1 species